AGUGGACCUGUUAAAACAAAGCAUUUCAAUUGAAAUUUUUUUUUGAUUUUUACAUUCCUUUCAAAAGAGCCAAAAUGCUAUACUAGUCGCUUGCAGUUAUGUAAUGAUCAAGCAUUUCCUCCACGUACCAUAAGUUGGUUUAAAUCUGCUCUUUCAGCAGGGUUCUUGAUGAGGCUGAAAAGAGAAAGUGUGGUAAGUCAGUCCUUUGAUCACCUGGAUAGGACACAGAGAACAAACAGGACUUGGUCCAAGGAACCACCAUCCUGCCAACAGGACAGAAAGGGAGACUAGUGUGGGCUGUUCAAAGAAUCAGGAGUCUGACCCAGUGGCGGGACUGUAGAGCCACCUACCAUGUGCUCCAUGCAAAUACUGAUCUCGCCAUCACUGUAAAAAGCGCCGUAAAACCCAACGAUGUAUGGGGAGUUGCACUCAUGCAGCACCUGCAGUUCCCGAAUGAUCUGAUUCCUGAUGGCCUGCUUUAUCUCCAAAUGGAUUAACUGCAACACCACAGAAAAAAAACACAGUUUAAAACAAGCACAUUUGUGCAGCAUGGGCCAGAACUGCCUCACGGUUUUAAGUCUUGCUGCAUGUUGACUGUGUGGAGUUUGUACCUUCCUAAAAGAGGCUGGUGCCACCUGCCCAUCACCGCAAAGAAGGAUCCUCAACCCUAAAAAGGCAGCGGCAACCCACAGUUCCAGGACUGUGCUUGGGAGUGGUGAGUUCUUGGAUUUAUGAUUAUCUCUUGUACUUUGUGAAUUUCUGGAUUUUUUUGACCCCUUCACUCUGUAUUUCAACUACUCUUUGGAUUUGUGAUUGGGACUUUAUUUGCUUUUGUUAUUGGCUUUUUGAAGGCAUUACCCUCUGUAUCUUCAUGCUCCUUGGAGUUUAUUUUGUUCUGUGGAGAUUUUGAAUUAAAAAAAAUGAUUUUUUU